rnacentral:rRNA from 1 species
AGCGAACGCUGGCGGCAUGCCUAACACAUGCAAGUCGAACGAAACCUUCGGGUCUAGUGGCGCACGGGUGCGUAACGCGUGGGAACCUGCCCUUAGGUUCGGAAUAACUCCCCGAAAGGGGUGCUAAUACCGGAUAAUGUCUUCGGACCAAAGAUUUAUCGCCUUUGGAUGGGCCCGCGUUGGAUUAGCUAGUUGGUAGGGUAAAAGCCUACCAAGGCGACGAUCCAUAGCUGGUCUGAGAGGAUGAUCAGCCACACUGGGACUGAGACACGGCCCAGACUCCUACGGGAGGCAGCAGUGGGGAAUAUUGGACAAUGGGCGAAAGCCUGAUCCAGCAAUGCCGCGUGAGUGAUGAAGGCCUUAGGGUUGUAAAGCUCUUUUACCCGGGAUGAUAAUGACAGUACCGGGAGAAUAAGCUCCGGCUAACUCCGUG